rnacentral:rRNA from 1 species
GACGAACGCUGGCGGCGUGCUUAAUACAUGCAAGUCAACUAAGUCUUUUGCAGCAAUGUAAAAGAUUUGGUGGCGCACGGGUGAGUAUAACGUAGGCAAUCUACCAAAAGGUCUGACACAACCUGCCGAAAGGCAGGCUAAUAUCAGAUGAUACAAAAAGCAGGCAUCUGCUCUUUAUCAAAGCUUCGGCGCCUUUUGAUGAGCCUACGCCCCAC